GUCUCUAUAGAGUAGUAGAUAACCCGUUGGAUUUCCUAUCCAAAGAGCGUGGGUUCGAAUUCCACCUGGGAUG